UACGGAGGGGACUAGCGUUGUUCGGAAUCAUUGGGUUUAAAGGGUCCGUAGGUGGAUAAUUAAGUCAGAGGUGAAAGUUUGCAGCUCAACUGUAAAAUUGCCUUUGAUACUGGUUAUCUUGAAUUAUUAUGAAGUAGUUAGAAUAUGUAGUGUAGCGGUGAAAUGCAUAGAUAUUACAUAGAAUACCAAUUGCGAAGGCA
rnacentral:rRNA from 1 species